rnacentral:rRNA from 2 species
CCUGGCUCAGAGUGAACGCUGGCGGUAGGCCUAACACAUGCAAGUCGAACGGCAGCACAGAGGAGCUUGCUCCUUGGGUGGCGAGUGGCGGACGGGUGAGGAAUACAUCGGAAUCUACUCUGUCGUGGGGGAUAACGUAGGGAAACUUACGCUAAUACCGCAUACGACCUACGGGUGAAAGCAGGGGAUCUUCGGACCUUGCGCGAUUGAAUGAGCCGAUGUCGGAUUAGCUAGUUGGCGGGGUAAAGGCCCACCAAGGCGACGAUCCGUAGCUGGUCUGAGAGGAUGAUCAGCCACACUGGAACUGAGACACGGUCCAGACUCCUACGGGAGGCAGCAGUGGGGAAUAUUGGACAAUGGGCGCAAGCCUGAUCCAGCCAUACCGCGUGGGUGAAGAAGGCCUUCGGGUUGUAAAGCCCUUUUGUUGGGAAAGAAAUCCAGCUGGCUAAUACCCGGUUGGGAUGACGGUACCCAAAGAAUAAGCACCGGCUAACUUCGUGCCAGCAGCCGCGGUAAUACGAAGGGUGCAAGCGUUACUCGGAAUUACUGGGCGUAAAGCGUGCGUAGGUGGUCGUUUAAGUCCGUUGUGAAAGCCCUGGGCUCAACCUGGGAACUGCAGUGGAUACUGGGCGACUAGAGUGUGGUAGAGGGUAGCGGAAUUCCUGGUGUAGCAGUGAAAUGCGUAGAGAUCAGGAGGAACAUCCAUGGCGAAGGCAGCUA